rnacentral:lncRNA from 1 species
GGUGAUAGUGGGUUAUUGUGGAGAUCAUUUUUCAUGGGUUGAUAAUGAAAAUUAAUAUUGUCAGUGGGUGAUCAUAUUAGAAAGUAUCAUUAGUGGUGGAUAAUAUGGUGAGAUCAUUAUCGAUGGUGGAUCAUUUUAGAGUAUCACUGAUGGUGGCGAUGAUGGAGAUCAUUAAUGGUGAUAGCUAUAGUAGAGAUCACUAAUCAUGGUGGGUGGUGGUAAAGAUUGUUAACAAAAAUAGGGAGUUAUAGAGAUUGAGAUUGUUGGUGAUGG